AGUGGGCUCUCCCAACUGAACUGGCUGGUAGUUAGGACAAAAUCCAGCGUAGACCUGUGUGAGAGAGCAAGGAGCUAGAAGCCGGCUGCAGGCAGAGGACUGUGAGAGAGAUGUGAUUGAUUUCUGCUGUAAUCCAAGGCUGUGUCUAUGGGAGAAGCAAGACCCUCCUGUGAGCCCUUCCAUCUUAGGUUCGGGUUGCAUAUAUGUGUGAAUAAGCCAUAUACCAUAAAGACCCCACAGUCUCCACUGGGCCUCAUUUCCAAAAGAAACAUGAACCCUGGGUAAGUGUCUGGAAUAUCACACAGCUUGGAGACUGAGGUGGCGUGCAACAAUAUGGUUUAUGUUGUUCCUUUUUACCAAUUUACAUUGUGUUUCUUUUGUAUUGAAAUGCAUGGUGUUGUAUAAUAUAACUGUACAUAACUUUUCACCCGAGCGGACGGCUAGACAAAUAACAUUGUUUUUGUCAGAAGCCAAACUGCAGGUGAAAUGAAACAGAGGUGCUUGCAAAGAAUAUGGGGCAGAAUGGAAACUGAUGCCUUCUUACACCCCUAAAUCUAUAUCUGUGGGGUGAAGGGAUACAGGAUUCCGUAGAAGUUCCACUACAUUGGCAGAAUCCCAGCUGGGGCUUCUUCUGCAGCCCCUAUGCUCCUGGUGUGUAUAAUUGGGUGUUGGGACUCAGGAGCAGAGAGAGAUGUUUGCCCCAUGCUGUGUGUGAGGAUUGGCUUCUGUGGGCUGAUGAGGAGUUACAGAAUAUAACUUGUCUGACGGCAGGGUGAAAAGGUCUGAAGUGGAAUAGCAGAGGAAAGGUAGAAGAAGCAGAGGCCUUGAAAAAGAGAAGCACGUUGUUCAAUGGGCACCCACAAGAUUUAUAAAAAGCAGGUGCUGUUUGCAAGCAAAGGGAGCUUUGAAAACUGGGAUUGUCAGAAUUAGAGCCAAGAGGAGACAUACGUAAGUGUUGAGUGUAAAGUAGGAGACUGCAUUUCACUUAUUCAAUUAUUCAAUUAAUCACAGCUUUAGCUGCAAGUCGUUAGCUGGAUAUUUAUGAUCUAGCCCUGGUGCUGAAGGAUUAUAUAUUAUUUAAGGCAGAUUUGGGGUUGGUCAAAAGCAGCAUGUUCAUUAUUCACAUCCAGCAAAUGAUGGCUUGCACCAAGCUGUUUUCUCACACAUUCGUGCCUGUAUUAUUCCCAGCAGAGGUGUGAGACUUCAAGCAACAGCAAAUGAAAGUAUUUUGCUCAGAUGGAAGAGGAAGCCGAUGUUGCCAUUAUGGGGUUGGUUGGUGGGUGGGUGGGGAGGGGAGGGGAAGAAAGGGGAUGAACCAGGAGUGCACCAAUACAAAAUCCUGAUUCUCUGCCCCACACAACUGGAAACUUGUCUCAUUUUAUUCUCCCUCGGGGUACUACAGGACCCAGGGAGCAGCUGGCCUGAGCUGCUUUCAAAUAUUCUGGCAAGAUAGUAAGAAUGAGCAGAUGGCCUUACAUACUCUUUCCACGCCUGACCCUGAAUAUGACUUAGUGAGUUCUCUAUAAUUCAUGUCCUUAACUGUUUUCCUUCAAACGUUAAGAUUUUCCUCUCCUUUGAUAAAAAAAACUUGCUGUGGCCAUUCACCCUUAUCCUAACCACGUUUAUUCAGGAGUACAUCUCAGUUUGAUUCCAGUGGGAUUUACUCUCAGGUAACUAUGCUUGGGAUUGUAGCCUUUGUAGCAUAAAAGUCCAACCCCCAAACAAAACAAAAAACCAGCCUUUGUGCUCAGCUCUUCUAAAGCCUGAUGCCUCACUGUUAAGGCUUAACUGUGCUCUUUGGUAUUGUUGCUAUGGUAACCCAACAGUUUAUCCCUCACUUCCAAAUAUAUUCACACAGUUCUUGUUAAACACUCCCCCCUCCCUUGCAAUUCUCUAUUGGAAUCCAAUUAUCUUGCAUUAAUUCUAAAUCAAAUUCAGAGCAGCACAAACACCCAUAACACGUGUGUAAAUGAUUAUUUUUAUAAUACUGUUAGCGCCACAUGCACAUAUAUAUUCUGUGCCUUUGAACAUGCAAGAAAGAAGCUGUUUUCUGGUAAGAACCUGAUACCAGGCUGUUUUGUUUUUGGCUUAGCUGGGUAAAAUGCAAUACUGCUGAAAGCUGCUGGCCUUGCAGACUCGAAUUCCCAGCAUCUCUUUCAAUCCAUAAAACAGGCACCCCAGUUGGAUUCCUCCCCUGUAUGACUUUGACAAAGUACACGUUCAGGAUCCUGCCUUAACUGGGGAUGUCAGUCUCCGCAGUAUAUUUUCUAGCGCUCCCAUCAGACAGGAUAGUUUGAAUUUGCUAUCAUAAAACGUAGAAAUGUCACUUAUUGGCAGUUAAAUAUUAAGCAGGGUAAAAACAAAACACAAACACCUGAAACGAAAAGGAACCGUACCAAAACUAAAACAAGUAAACAAGCAAAAACCUGAUUUGACAAGGCAUUGCCAUAAGAGAGCUCCACUCUGUGCUUGGAAGGAUUAAAGCAACAAAGCUCUUGGCAUAGAGGUGACAUCUGUAUAUGAAUUCGUAGUGGUACUUUAUGGAACUGUCUGAUCAAUAGGAAUAUAUGGGUGCAAGUGGUUCACUGACCUCGGCCUACAGGAGUAGUCAGUGUCCUCCUGCUGAGCAGCCCAUUUUGAUCACAAGUCCAUGGUUGGCCCCCCACAUACCCCUAUGUGACCGAUCCUCUCCCUCGACUGCAUAGGAGCACAUCCGAAAGCUCUGCCAUUCUGAGACCUAUAUUUUUAUAUUGUACAAGAGGUACACAUAUGGGACAGCGUUUUGGCUGGUUGACAUCUGAUGACCUUUUAAAUGUUUUGUGGCAUUAUUUGUUUGUUUUUAUCAUGUAUUUUGUCUUUUUUAUAUUUGUGAACCGCUCUGAGAAUCUAUAGGACAGUAUACAAAUUAAACCAACCAACAUACUUUAUACAUGUUUGUUAACAUCUACACCCAUGCCACAGUUAAGAACCCAACAUGUAAAAUAAUAAAAAGUGUAUGUAUCCUUAUGUCUCAAUUUCUAAGUGCAUAUUGCUAUUAUUGGGUGUCCUUGGAAUUUACCAUGAACUUACCCUGUCCUUAAUCUGAAACCCAAUGCCCAUUCCUAUUUCCAGGCAUGGCAUUGAGAUAGUUUUACUGACAAAGCCCCAUUCAGCUGAGUUUUGUGUUUCGGAUCUUCAGAUGGAGUGAAGAGAAGCUUUGCUCCAGAGAUUGUAUGUUGCCUCUUUAGACAGGAAGGCAGCAAGAAGGAACUUUGACCACAAACCUAUAUCUGCAUCUGAUAUCACCAGGUAAGAUGCAACUUACCUGCCUGUUACAUCAGGUACACUUCACUUUUAUGUUCUUUAUGCUAAAAAAGAAAGAGGUCCUUUUGGCCAAUUAAAAGGUUGCAUUCUGCUCAGGUCAUGAAAAGGCACCACCAGAAGGCAUACACUGAACUGGGUACAGAACUUCAAAUGACACAGCACCUGUGUCAUGCUCAUUGGUGUGAAUGGAAGAUAGUGGGAUCUACACACAGAACAGAGAAUAUGUGAUGCUCACAAACCUGUGGAAAGUCCGUUUCAAAUUUUAUUUGUAGCUUACAGCAGAAGAGCAAUGGUUGGGUAGCACCAGGAGCCACUUGACAAGGUGUCAGGUGGGGAAAAAACAUUGGAAAUAUAUCUAAGGCUCCUUAAAUGUUGUUAUAGGACUAAAUAUACUAAGGUAUUGAUUUAACAUGGAAAAAGAGUUCAGAGAGCUAGACAGCUGGAAACAGUAGCAAGGUAAUGAUGACCUUUGGGGUUUGGUUUUCCCAGCUAAUGUUUCCUUCACAGCUAAAAAUUGAGGACAGAAUAGCAACGGAGGAGAAUCUAUGCAUGGAAUCAAUACAAGAUUCUAGAGAACAAGAGAUAAACAGAGAGCUGAGCUCCAGGCCACAGAUGAGACCCAUUAAGUAUGACAGACAGCAAUGCAUGGAUAAAUGAGUGCUUUUAACACACACACACACACACACACACACACACACACACACACACACACGAAGGCACGCACGCACACAAAACACACUGAAGGAACUUCCCCAGAGAUUCCACAUUCUCUCAUGAACUGAAAAGCAUUCUGCUAAAAAUGAUCAUUCCAACAGCCUCUGCUGGGUUGCGGGGGUGGGGGUGGGAUUUGUUACAACAAUGUCAAAAAUGGGGAGUGGGAUACACCUGAAUGGCCAAAAAAGUCUCAGGUCCCAAUGCAAACAAAUAAUAAAUUGUGAAUAUAUCAUCUUCUUUAAAUUAUAAGAAAGGAACGCACCUAAAAGCAAAUAUGAAAUCUGAUUUCAGAUAAAAUUAUAUCUAAUACCAUCAUAUCUAAUGACACGCAAUUGUGUCAAACGAUAGGUAAGGAAAGGGUCACAGGGACAAGAACAACUUUGUAUAGUUUGGCUGUGUGUAUUGAGAUGUUUCGGCAAUGCUGUAACAAGUGGGCUACAUAGCAGCAUUUGUCUUCUAAUUGUUGCUUUGUUGCUUUAUUAAUUUAUUGAAUUAUCUAAUUCCAGAAAGCUGGAUUUUUGUACAUUUCCAUCCCAUGUGGAGAUAUGUACUGGGUAUGGUAUAGCCCCUCCAGCAAGGUGGUGAGGCACCAGGAUGGAUCAUUGCCAGCUUGUAACUGCCAGACCAUCUCUCUUAAUCCAAUCAACCCCAAGGCUUGCUGUCAUCCAGUCAGAACCUAAGUGGGCAUUUGCAGUAAGGACAUAACAAGGAACUGCAAGCAGCUGGAGAAGCAGCAGCACAGGAAGGCCAUUUUAGCUGGAUGUUCUGGGAACUAUGCUGCAGAGAAAAGCAGAGCCCUCAGGGUAUCCUGGCACCCACAGGCACCAUGCUGGUUGUGCCAGGAUUAAAGUUCCUCCAUUUCCAUGCUGAUUGAAAUUGUGCCUUAGAUGGACGUGCCUAUUCAAAUUCUGUACUUGUCUGCAUUACUGUUUCAGGAAUGUCUUAAUUUCUAUGCUAACUGAUGUGCACCAGCAAGAAUAUAUUCUAGUCUCCGUGACAGUUUUAGGACUUGGGAACCUCUGGUUUGCAAGGAAGCUAAGAGCCCUGUACAGCAGACCCGCCAGGGAUAGUCCCAGAUUUAUAGAGUCUGGCCUGGUUUUUUAUAUGAUCCUGGAAUGUCUCACUUUUCCUCUCUAUUUUCAUCAGAGAAAUAUUGGAGGGAGACAAAUAUAUAUAUAUAAUUUUUUGUCCAGAGACAAAAAAAUGACAAGGCCAGUUUUAAAAAUCUGACUUACAUCCAUUCUGACUUGUAACUUUAUUCCUCAAAAUUCUUCUGAGGCUUUAGACACACAUUUUUAUGAUGUAGCCAGCACAGUCUAUUUUGGAAAAUUCCAGUCCCCUUACCGAAGGCCACAUCACCAGUCUGUCUAGUGACAAACAUGGAGCCAGAGUCGCCUCCAAGAGCUCUUCUCUGUCCUUUACCAGGCUUGGAACCCUGGGCUGAAUGAAAGAGGAGUCCUGAUUUAGAAUAGUGAGAGGAACAGCACAGUCUUUCUGCUCUCUGACUGAUAAUGAGCCUGGCACAUUCUUCCUUGUGAAAAUCAAGAGAGAUACAUUUUAAACUAUUAAUGAGAGCAGAAAACAAAUCUCUGAAAGAAAUGCACAUUCUUUGCAUACAGCUUUUAGAGUGAUGUUUCAAUAUCAUUGCCACCACAUUCUUAUGAGUAAACAUGGUAACAGCUGGUAGGACGUCCACACAAAGAGAAGCUUCUGGGGCUCUGUUGCCACUCAACUCUAGCAGACUUUUUGAAGUCCCUUCCACCCAGGCCGAAUGAAUGGUAGGAAACCUCAGGGAGCAGCUUAAAGAUUCUCCAAAAAUUUGCAGCUUCUUGAGUUUACUGGUAGUUCAUCAGAAGGGACUUUUCAGCUCACAGACAUGAAUGCUGGGCAUUGUGUAGGGUUUUUUAAAAUAAAUAAAUUGCAGCAACUUUGAUUUUCACUUUGCAUCACGUCACUGCACCGUGGUGCAAGUAGACACUACUUAACACUGUCCAAGCUUACCAAAGGCAGAUGUGUAUACUAAAAUAGCUGACAGCUAUGAUGAUUCAUAGAAGUAAGCCCCCAUUGAAGUCAAGGGGGUCUACUUCAACAAAAUGUAAUGCAGCGGAAUAAUGUCAAGGUAAAAACCUGGUAAAUAUUUAUUAUUGAUGGCAACUAUGACCUGGAAAAACUGUCUGCGGAGUGGACAAAUGGCAGCUCCCUCGGCCUGUAAAGCGAGAUGAGCACCACAACCCCAGAGUCGUUCGCAACUGGACUUAAUUGUCAGGGAUCCCUUUACCUUUACCAAAAGCAGAACCAUUUGAGGACCUAGAAAAGGUCAGGUAUACCUCCAAUGUCCCUUGAUAGGUUGUGGACUCUCCUUCACUGGAGGUUUUUAAGCAGAGGUUGGAUGGUCAUCUGUCCUGGAUGCUUUAGCUGAGAUUCCUGCAUUGCAGGGGCUUGGACUAGAUGACCCUUGGGGUCCCUUUUGACUCAACAAUUCUAUGAUUCUAUCUGACCACCAUAGUUUAAAUUCAGCCUCCAUUGCUUCAUUUGUUAUUUCCUUAAGUUUGUCUCUUCCUUUCCUCUCCAGCGCAAGUUCCUGAAGUAGCUGAGACUCAGAACGCCCUGGCCUUUCAAAGCAGUAACUGAAAUAAUUGGUUACAUAAAGUGAAUUAAGUCACAGCUGACUAGUGAAGAGUUCAACUUAAAGAAGAGGAACUUCAACAGACAGAAUGGGGCCACUGUAUGACCUGAACAGAGAGUGCAGCCUGUAGGACUGGGAUGCUUUCAGCACUACCAACAGAGCGCUAAAACACCGACUCAUAAAUAUCACUAGCCUCAGUGUGCAAAAGUAUCUCACACUACUUUUGCAGCCUGAACCCUAUGCAUCUGGUGCAACAAACAGAUUACAACAGGGAACAGUUCCAUUACUUUUUGUAACAGCCCUAUAAAAGGCCUGCAGGGGGUGGAAGGGGCUAAAAUUGGGGUGGAGGAGUCAGCAAGUGCCAUUUGCAAGAUCUCAUUAAGGGCCUUUGAGCAUUACAUUCAUUUGCAUGGGAUUGCAGCCUUGACACCAAGGGGUUAUUCUCAUUGUAACUCCAUGGGCAGGUUGAUGGACUUCUCUGUAAAAGCAAAAGCAAAAUUAAGUCCAGAUCUAAGAAGAGUCCAAUGCCAUUAGUAUGUUACAUACUUACGGAUCUUCCCAAAUGGUCCUGGCACCAACUGAAAUAAAUGCUGGAUUGCACCAAUUUAGUUUUAUGACUUUAUGCUGCCAAACAUAUGGCAAGGAGUAACACCAGUAUCCUGUGACAAUCACUAAUUAGAAGGCACGUUCGUUUUUAAAUGUGUUCGCACGCUGGCAUAUGCUAAAAACAAAUCUUGCUGAGAAUAGGUAACAAUUAGUUGUGUUUCUGUCAGCGUCUAUGAAAUACAUGGCCUGGCUGGCCUGGCUGAUCCACUGGGAUCCCUUCCAGAUCUGGUUCUGUGACUAGGGCCCUCAUUAUGAAUUAUUCUGGGACAAGACCCCUUAAGGCCUGACCAUAGACAAUGGAUAGCCUAGGACAGGGUGGUGAGUCCCAGAUAGAUAGAUAGAUAGAUAGAUAGAUAGAUAGAUAGAUAGAUGCACAGCAUGGAAAUGUGGGAGAACCUGGGGCCAGGGUGUGUGUGAGAGAAUCUGACCCCUGAAAUCCCAUCCAGGGAAGAUCCAAGGGCACAGAACAGGAGUCAAAUUGGCCCUCAAACAAUCCUCGUCACGUCCCAUCCCUCCCAUGUAGCUGCAGUCCGGACUAUCCCUCUUCUUGUACAUCCUGGAGGGGAUGGAGGGAAGAGGCAGAAAGUCACAGAUCCAAGGUCCCCUUUCCUUAUCUGUGUGUGUGUUUUGGAUGUGAGAGAUGUUAGAGGUGGAGGAAAUAAUAAUGCACAACACCCAGCUUUAUAUGUCUUCUUUGAGACUCCAACCACUUUUGGGUAAAGGUAAAGGGACCCCUGACCAUUAGGUCCAGUCGUGACCGAAUCUGGGGUUGCGGUGCUCAUCUCGCUUUAUUGGCUGAGGGAGCCGGCGUACAGCUUCUGGGUCAUGUGGCCAGCAUGACUAAGCCGCUUCUGGUGAAAACCAGAGCAGCGCACGGAAACACCAUUUACCUUCCCGCGGAAGUGGUACCUAUUUAUCUACUUGCACUUUGAUGUGCUUUUGAACUGCUAGGUUGGCAGGAGCUUGGACCGAGCAAUGGGAGCUCACCCUGUCACAGGGAUUCAAACCGCCGACCUUCUGAUCGGCAAGCCCUAGGCUCUGUGGUUUAACCCACAGCGCCACCCGCGUUCCACUUUUGGGUAGGGAGGUGCAAUAGUAACAUUGCCAGCAGGGUGUUCUUGGGCUAUGAUUUUUACAACAAAUCACAGCGUAUAGCUUUUCAUUUGGACUGUUGCUGCAUCACAGCACCAUUAAAAUCUCAUGCGUUUUUCCCCUGAAAGGACUUUGGCAAAAUGACCCUGUUUGCUCCCAGCAGAGGUAUUUCUAUCUGACAGCUUUCAAAGAUAUUUUGAUUUGCCCCAUCAACUCCCGGCUUUCUAAAGCAUUCAGCAACCCCACCCCUCCAUUCCCAUUUGCCAUCACUCACACAGUACUUCUCUUCCCUGUGGCAAGUGCACAGCCAAGACUCUUAAGGAAACACAAUGAAUAGGAAAAGGCUUCUUUCUUAUUGCCAAUUGCUCCCCUAUUGACUCCCAGGCCUAAAGGCAGCUUCUUCUUCUCCACUAGUUCUUUUGUAGCAGCUAGGAAGGCAGUCUAUGCAGCUCUUCAUGUUCUAAACAUUUGCUUUGUAAACAUGCAUGUGUUGUUGUCUUUUAUGUACCAAGGAGAAGACGUGGAAGCAUCUGGAACCAGAAGGCAGAAGUCAACCGUCUACAGAGCUGCCGUUCAUGACUCUGGUUUCUUUGGGAUAGACCCACACCCUACUUACAAGCCAAUAAAAGCCUCACAGGUCAACUAGAAGCUCCAUGAAGACACAGACCUUGGAACUUUUAGGCCAUCCUAUGCACUGAAGAGAUACUAAAAUAAAAAUUAAAAAUCCAACUUUCUACUACCUU